rnacentral:rRNA from 1 species
CUAAUACAUGCAAGUCGAGCGGUCCCUUCGGGGGCAGCGGCGGACGGGUGAGUAACGCGUGGGAACGUGCCCUUUGGUACGGAACAACUGAGGGAAACUUCAGCUAAUACCGUAUGUGCCCUUCGGGGGAAAGAUUUAUCGCCAUUGGAGCGGCCCGCGUUGGAUUAGGUAGUUGGUGAGGUAAAGGCUCACCAAGCCUACGAUCCAUAGCUGGUCUGAGAGGAUGAUCAGCCACACUGGGACUGAGACACGGCCCAGACUCCUACGGGAGGCAGCAGUAGGGAAUCUUGCGCAAUGGGCGAAAGCCUGACGCAGCCAUGCCGCGUGAAUGAUGAAGGUCUUAGGAUUGUAAAAUUCUUUCACCGGGGACGAUAAUGACGGUACCCGGAGAAGAAGCCCCGGCUAACUUCGUGCCAGCCGCCGCGGUAAUACA